UAGCUGGAGCGGCAAAUUUUGGGCAAAAUUUCAGAUAAUUUCAAAAAAUUUCAAGUCUCGCUUUCACUUUCUCUCUAUCCUUUCUCUUUCUCUCCACUCUCUCGUUCCUCUCAUUCAGACUAAUAUCUCUCCAUACUCUCUCUCUCUCACUCACUUUAACUAUGGAGCCAUUACAUCAAAUCUCUAGUAUGUAAAUUAGGGCUCCAUGGAUUUACCUCUUAUAUUAGGGUUCAAUCGAUUUGAAUUGGAAACUGGGUCCAGACUUGAGUUCUUCAAAAGAGGGUUUUAGUUUAAUUGAUUUUGUUUAUGUUUAUGUUCUUUAAUCUCUCUCUCUCUCCCUCUCUCUUCAUUUCAGGUGUUCUUGAAAUUGGGGCUCAAUCAAUUUAAGAGAAAUAGCAUGAAGCAGCAGCAAACUUCAUGAGUAGAAAGCACCUAUUGGUCAGGCUGAAAGAGCAUAUGUCAGAUUCUUGAGUAUACUUUUUUUCUCCUUUGCACCAGAUCUUUCCUCUAGAUGUGGAAAUUGACGAAAUAAAUGACCAGUGGACACUGCGAGCGGGAUAAGGACAACUAUGUCAACUAUCACAAGAGAUUAAUUGAUGUAGUAAAUAUCGGACGGUUAUGAGGACGACAACACCAUGGGUAGUGCCCAGCAAGUUGAUACUUCAAUGAGAAAUUACGUAAGUUACUAGAGACAUUGUGAUUGGGCUUAACAGAGCCUUGGUGGAUGAUUCCAGUAUUGAGAUAUGCAUGUGUGUACAGGGUAUAUGUAGCCAUUUGAAAUGUUACUAAUUUAGUUUGUACAAGAUUAUUUUAAUUUUUUGUUAGGCAAAGAUUUGACAUUUAGUUACUUGUAUAAAUUGUAUAAGACAAUAGUUUGAUUCCUAAAGUUUUUACGAUCUCA